rnacentral:misc_RNA from 1 species
GAUGAAGAACGUAGUGAAAUGCGAUACUUGGUGUGAAUUGCAGAAUCCCGUGAACCAUCGAGUCUUUGAACGCAAGUUGCGCCCGAAGCCAUUAGGCCGAGGGCACGCCUGCCUGGGCGUCACACGUCGUUGCCCCCCCAUCUACUCCUUCGGGAUUGCGGGGGGCGGAUGAUGGCCUCCCGUGCGCCUCGCCGCGCGGUUGGCAUAAAUGCCAAGUCCUCGGCGACGCACGCCACGACAAUCGGUGGUUGCGAAACCUCGGUUGCCCGUCGUGUGCGGUCGUCGCGCAUCGAGGGCUCGAAAAAAUUGCCGGGCUCCGGCUCGGCUUUCAACGCGACCCCAGGUCGGGCGGGGUUACCCGCUGAAUUUAAGCAUAUCAAUAAGCGGAGGA